rnacentral:rRNA from 1 species
ACUCCUACGGGAGGCAGCAGUGAGGAAUAUUGGUCAAUGGGCGGGAGCCUGAACCAGCCAAGUCGCGUGAGGGAAGACGGUCCUAUGGAUUGUAAACCUCUUUAGGCGGGGAGCAAUGCCGGGCACGCGUGCCCAGAGGGAGAGUACCCGCAGAAUAAGCAUCGGCUAACUCCGUGCCAGCAGCCGCGGUAAUACGGAGGAUGCGAGCGUUAUCCGGAUUUAUUGGGUUUAAAGGGUGCGUAGGCGGUUUGAUGAGUUAGAGGUGAAAUGU